UUUAAUGUUAGGUAUAAAUUCAGGGUUGGACUAGCUCACCGGACAUCUCAGUUUAAAAACGUUGGGCCUCCUUGUUCAAAAGUUGUAUUCAAUGAUUCAGAUGAACCGACAGACAUACAUACAGGCUGACAUUACUGGACUGGACAAUUUUCAUCCUGUUAAUUCAAUAGAAAUAUUAAACAUUCCAGUAUCGUUUGGUAUGAACGACCAAAGCAAAUUAGACAACGAAUCAAUACUGGACAAUACUGCAUUCCAACCCAUAUAACGG